rnacentral:miRNA from 1 species
AAAUGGUAUUAGGUUGGUGCAAAAAAGAAUUGCGAUUUUGCCUUUAAAACUAAUGGCAAAAACCACAAUUCUUUUUGCACCAACCUAAUA